CCUACGGGUGGCAGCAGUGAGGAAUAUUGGUCAAUGGACGAGAGUCUGAACCAGCCCAGUAGCGUGAAGGAUGACUGCCCUAUGGGUUGUAAACCUCUUUUAUAAGGGCAGAAUAAUGACUACGUGUAGUCAGAUGCCCGUACCUUAUGAAUAAGAAUCGGCUAACUCCGUGCCAGCAGCCGCGGUAAUACGGAGGAUGCGAGCGUUAUCCGGAUUUAUUGGGUUUAAAGGGUGCGUAGGCGGUAUUUUAAGUUAGUGGUAAAACGUCGGGGCUUCACCGUGAUUGGCCAUUAAAACUGGAGUACUAGAGUACAGACGAGGUAGGCGGAAUAAGUUAAGUAGCGGUGAAAUGCUUAGAUAUAACUUAGAACCCCGAUAGCGAAGGCAGCUUACCAGACUGUUACUGACGCUGAAGCACGAGAGCGUGGGUAGCGAACAGGAUUAGAUACCCUAGUAGUC
rnacentral:rRNA from 1 species